GACGAAGGGGGCUAGCGUUGUUCGGAAUUACUGGGCGUAAAGCGCGUGUAGGCGGUUGCCCAAGUCGGGUGUGAAAGCCUUGAGCUCAACUCAAGAAAUGCACUCGGUACUGGGCGACUAGAGGACCGGAGAGGAUAGUGGAAUUCCCAGUGUAGUGGUGAAAUACGUAGAGAUUGGGAAGAACACCAGUGGCGAAGGCGGCUAUCUGGACGGUUUCUGACGCUAAGACGCGAAAGCGUGGGGAGCAAACAGG
rnacentral:rRNA from 1 species